rnacentral:hammerhead_ribozyme from 1 species
AGCCAGCUCACGAGUCCCAAAUAGGACGAAAUGCGCUUUAUCCUGGAU